UACGGAGGGUGCAAGCAUUAAUCGGAUUUAUUGGGCGUAAAGGGCGCGUAGGCUGGUUUGUAAGUCAGAUGUGAAAUCCCGGGGCUCAACCCCGGAACAGCAUUUGAAACUGCAUACCUAGAGGGUAGGCGGAGAAAACGGAAUUCCACAUGUAGCGGUGAAAUGCGUGGAUAUGUGGAGGAACACCGGUGGCGAAGGCGGUUUUCUAGCUUUCUCCUGACGCUGAGGCGCGAGAGCAAGGGGAGCAAACAGG
rnacentral:rRNA from 1 species